rnacentral:rRNA from 1 species
UACAGAGGUCCCAAGCGUUGUUCGGAUUCACUGGGCGUAAAGGGUGCGUAGGUGGCGUGGUAAGUUUGAUGUGAAAUCUCCGGGCUUAACCCGGAAAUGGCAUUGAAUACUAUCAAGCUAGAGGUUUGGAGGGGGGACUGGAAUUCUCGGUGUAGCAGUGAAAUGCGUAGAUAUCGAGAGGAACACCAGUGGCGAAGGCGAGUCCCUGGACAACACCUGACACUGAGGCACGAAAGCUAGGGGAGCAAACAGG